ensembl:lncRNA
ACACCAGCCAUUGCCUGUCAGCUGCACCAGAAAAGGGAGAGUUGGGGGAAAUUGAGUUUUGUCUUGGGUCCCCUUUACUUCUCCACUACAGCCUCGGAUUUGCCAGCAGCCUAGAAAGCCUAAAGCCUCUGGGAGGAGGGAAAGAAAGUGCUGGGGGGCAGAGCCGGACUUUGUGAACUUUCACUCGAGGCCUCUAACCCUCUGCCCCCACAGGUGUUAUUAACUUUCCUCUUUGAGUCGAGGGAGGUGAAGCUCCAACAGGAUUGACUGUGAACUCGGGGCUUGGAAUGGACCCUCUUAGAACUUCAUUCGCUCCUUGACUUGCUCUAUGGCCGCCCAAGGCUCCAAAGCUGUGAAAUUUGGCAGAAUAAUUAGGACUGAGAACCCGACCAAGCUGUUGUGAGGAGAAGGUGGGCGGGCCCAUCCCUAAGGCCAAGUGCUCUGGAAAGGCAAACACGGGAAAGGUGGAGAAACUAGAAAAAGUUUGCCAACUCCUGGACUAAGAGGAUGGUGAAGGCACGCUUAUGAAAGGAUUCUGAAUCCCUGAUUACCCACGUGGAACAGAACUCUUCCUUGCCUCAUCUCACCAACCUUCACUGAAGUGUGAUGGAAGUUGUGGGUCUGUCUGCUGAUGGUCAUCAGUGAUUCUGCACAGAUGUCUCCUUCCCCACCUACUCUGUGGUAGGCAAAAUAAUGGCCCAAGAGGAGAGAACACCAUGCACGGUGGAGACAGAGACUGGAGUGAUGCUUAUACAAACCAAGAAAUGCCAAAAGUUGCCAGUGGCAACCAGAAGCUAGGAGAGCAGAAUGAGAUUCUCCCUCAAAGACUCCAGAAGGAACCAACCUUCCUGACACCUGGAUUUUGGACAUCUGGCCUCUAAAACUGUGUGAGAAUAUAUAUUUCUAUAGUUUUAAACUACCCUGUUUGUGGUACUUUGUAUGGCAGCCUUAGAAAACUAAUACAUCAAGCCUGCUUCAAACUCCUUCUUCUACAUCAAUCAGUAAAAAUUUCUACUUUUUUUAAGGGUCUCUACUUUUUUUUUUUUUUAAUGCUAGGCUACACCUUCUGUUCCUUUCUAAUCACUGAAAACUACAACUCCUAGGGCACUCUUAUCAGGUUUACCGACCCCGUGGCUCCAUUCUUCUCUACCCCUUCCUAUUACCUAAUGAUAUUCCAUGCUCAUAUUCAAAUGCUCAUGUGGAUCAGCCAUCCAACACCUGAGGCUCAGUUUCUUAGCCCCAACUCCAGUUUACACCCCACUCUACUGGAGCUAUUUCCAUCUAUGGCUUGGACCCAUUCCACAUCAGAAAUCCUGAGUAACCACUCUUUGACCAUAGCCCCAAUCCUUCCCAAUAACAUGUACCCCCCUCCUUAAAACUCUCUUUCUUCAGCCUCCUAGGGUCCUCUACUCGCUAAAUCUUAGCCAUUUAUUCCAGUCAUGCCCCUUCAAUCUAGCCUUAAUUUUUUCCUUUCUUGACUGAGUGCACAUGGUUGAUGACCUAAGCUACAAUAUUUUAAUUCACUCAGUAUUUUAAUUCUUCUGCAGCCUGGCUUUUUGACACAAUCACCAGGCAAAACUCAAUCUUGAGAUUUGCAAUGUGGCUUUCCUUCUGUACCCAGAUUGUUAAAUGAUGUCAGAGAAAAUCAUAUCUUUAGGUAGACUAGCUCCACUACAAAGCCAGAGUCAGCAUAGCAGCUCAGAGUUGCAUCUAUUCUCUCUCUCCUUGCACUUCCUACCAUAAUACCAAAUGUUCGCAGGCUCAUCCAUGUAUCCCCAUAACCUUUAUUCCUGCAGCUCAGUCACCACCAAUGAUGCUAUUCUCUCCAUAAAAGUAUAUCACACCAAAAGUCAUCAUUACCAGCAUUAUCCUCCUCACCUAUGUAUCUGCCACCCUCCCUAUCUCCACCCAAUUUUAAGAGCUGAGCCACCUGUGGUUCAUUUCAUUGUCCUGUAUCUUUCUAGCACCCUGCUGACACAUAAUAGUUGCUCAAUAAAUCUCUGCCAGCCUGACCUGAAUCCAUUCAAAACAUAAAUGUGCUGGGAGCUGGUAGUAUAUAUGACAAUUUGGUUUUUAAACUUGUUUCCUGAGGUUUUGAAUUAUUGACCAAAGAAACUUCUUCUUCGUCCAAAGGAAAAUAAAGACUUGCAUGGUAUCAGGUAUUUCCUGAUGCCAAUUCUGUUAUAUAUUAGCUUAUUAUGAAUGGACAAGUUAGACAAUAAAUAAUAAGUAGUCCACUGGGUCAUAAUGUCAUCUUGAAAUGUUUUUUCCUUCUGAUUACUCCUGCUAUCUUCAUGAUUAAAACAAUCCAUGUUCUACAUCAACUUUCCUUUCCAAAUCUUAAAAGAAAUAUUUGCCCUUAAUAAAAAGCAAAAU